rnacentral:lncRNA from 1 species
AUAAUUUUUAGUGGCCCAUCCGAUUAUUUUUUCCUGGCUCCGCCACUGUGUACAGCAACUAGUAGAAACUUAAUAAAAAAUGUUUCCUACAAAAAAAAUUAACCAAAAUUAAUUCGCAGCCUCCUCAGUGGUCAACUUAUCCUCCUCAGUCGUCAAUUUAUCGUCGUCACUCCUAUUAAAUGUUGCAUCAGACCUUCCAUCCUCUGUUAAGUUGUUUUCUUGGAGUUCAUGUUUCAGUCUUUGGAUCUCCUGAUCUUUCUCGUCUAGCUUCUCUUGCAACAUAAGAACCUGAAGGAAAAUCCAUAAGUAAGGUUCUCACAGUCUUGUUGGUUAGUUAUUAAUUUCAAAAUAGUGUUUGGUGUCAGAUUUAUAGAACAUAUUCAUGCAUGGUAAACCACUAUUACAAAUCACACAAUCUCCAAACAUGCACUUUGGGAUUUAUUUCAGUACUGGGAUGAGAUAUUACAUUUUUAUGCUCCCUCCAAUCUCGAAUAUAAUCAACAAAAAAUAAUUUUGAUAACCAAAAUAUAAGCAAAUGCAAUCUAACUUUACCUACAUAAUGAUAUCUUUCUUAAAAUGCUUUUAUAUUAAUUAAACAUUAACAUUAUUCUCCUGAAACAAAUUCUAACGAAAAAUAAUUUAAAGAAUGCAAUUAUCUUUUUUUAUCACAUUUAAGAAAGAAAAAAAAUGGUUUUAUCAAAAAAAAGAAAAAAAAAAAUGGUAGUACUAAAUUGUGUAAAAAAAAUGGUCAUAAUAAAUUUUUUAUAAGGUUUGGUAGUUUUUUCUUAUAGUACGAUUGGAGGGAGCACUCAUUAUUUGAUGUGUUAGGGUUGUGGUGGAGGGUAUUAAAUCCAUUAUUUCUAUGGAUCUAGGAAAUUAAAUUCUACAGUCCUAUUUGACAUAAGAUAACAAUAUUUAAUGUAUUUUUUUUCACGUUAAUGAAAAUGCCAUUACUUAAAACUUUUAAAUUCAAAAUCAUUUAUUUAUCUAUAAGAGGAAAUGAUAUUAUUAGUUCUUAAAAACUUAAUCCAGGUUAUGUUUCACCUACAUAAGCAUUUAUUCAAUUCACAUCGACAUUCAUGCAAUGUAAGCCUCUUUCCAAACGCAACAGUUGAGUUCCUUGCACGUUAUGCCGAGGAGCUUUCAUACAACAAUAUCCCCCCCCACCCCACCCCCACCCACCCACACCUCUUUUCUUAAAUUAAUUCAGAAACCAAAUCCAAUGAAGCACUUUAAAACUGAACAUGCAUUGCAACUUUCAUAUAAUAUAUAUAAAUAGGAAAAGGAGAGAAGUGAAAACCGUUUCAUUUGAUCUCUCCACAUCAUUUGUCAGUCCUUCCAUAUGCUUCUGCAAUCCUGUAGUCAAUAUUAAGGAUUAAUGUUUACAUAAGUAAAUUGCAAGUGUAUGACUGGCCACAUAAAUAUAGACAUUAGACAGAUCAACAGAUAGACAGCUUUCAUGUCUCUCAGUAAAAAAAAAAAAUCACAUUUCGGCCCCAAUAGUCUCCAAUUUUGUAGACAAGAGAACACGAGGCAACUACUCCUUACAAACAUCUAACAUGUUAAGAACAUUGUGAGAUAAAUAAAUUAUAACAGUAUUUCUAUCACAUCAUUAUGAUUCAAAUGAAUAGUUUCAAAAUCACAACAAUAACAUUAUUAUUCUACAUGAUGUUUGAUAUGAAAAUUAACAUAACUACAAAUAGAAAUGCACUUAUCAAUCUGAUAUGAAAGGUGACAGAAGUUACAGAGUUGCUGGGAAGUGUAAAAGAAUUGAAAAAGCAAUAACAUAAUCAAAUGAUUUUUUUUAUAGAGAUCAAAUGAAUUUCAUUCAGCAAAAAAACCUUCGAAUUGACUUCUGAGUUGUGCAUUCUGGGACUUCUGUAAUGCAAGUUUCAUCGUGAAUUCAUGUAUCUGCACACCAAAAGAAAUGGAAAAGGACAACACAAACAUCAAUUUAGCAGUAAUGACUACCAAAAAAUAUAAGCUAAUUUUAUUGGUGUUUGAAGUGUGAACACGUGCAAGUGUAGCAUUUCAUCAUGUUACUAGUACAACAUGUGAAUGGAAAGGGAAAAACGUGACAAUUAAAGGCAAUUAGCAAAUAAGAUGGUAGCACCUUUCCCUCAGAAGCUUGAUUUCCAAUCUCCUCAUUUUCUUCUUGCAGGGUUCUGCACUUAGCCAUCAGCAUCUUUCCCAUCUUGCUUUGGGAAGUAAAAGUUAUAGCAGAAAUGUUAUCUUGCAACUCCUUUAAUUUUUUGUCCUUUUCCUCCACUAAAUUCUAAUAAGAUGAGAACUCUUGUAAGAAUACUAAAACGGGGUGUGCAUGUGUGUCUGUGUCGGUGUGUUUGUAUAUUGGAAAUGUUGAAAUGAGGACGGAGAUGUAUAAAUGAAAUUAAAGAAACAUGGAAUCAACAAUCUCGGGUCACAAGAAAAGGCGAUCAAGACAAUACAUAGAAGAUAUGUUCAAUACAGCAUCAGAAACUAUGUGGUGCUGAAUCUGGAUUCGUUUCUGCAAUUUAAAGGUACUUCCCUAUUCUCUCUUUUUUUUUUAAAAAAAAAGGUACUUCCCUUUUAUAAUAUGCCAUCAGAAAUCCCUAAUUAGACAUUCAAAACCACCCUGCAUCAGAAAAAUUGUCCGCUUUGCAUAACUUUCCAAACACUGUCUGCGUCGCAUACCCAAAGUACAAAGCUUGGCUAUGCUCUUCUAUAGUGUUGGGUCUUUUUUUUACAUCAAAGAGGGCCUAAGCUCAUAUAGUGUUGGGUUUUGUUCCAUCUCAUUACAUGACUUCCAAAGAACAAAAAUUUCUAAUAAAUUCCCCCAUCGGCCAUGGGAUGAAGCACUACUGCUAUGUAACAACACUGAUCAUAAUGUUAAUGAGAUGUUUCUUCGCUUUAUGUCUAGGUGAAAGAAAAAAAUGACUAACUCGAACCAACCUUUUCCUAGUGUAUGUCUGUGAAAAGGAGAACGAGAUAAACCAAACUUGAUUCAAUAAAUGUGAGUAUUAAGUUAAAUUGCAAACCUUCAAACGUGUGAACUCUUCAUGAACAGCCGGAUCUAGUAACAACCUCCUUGCCUGAAAAAUACAUCCCAAAGAACAUCAAGGUAUUUCUGUUCUGAGCAGAACUAUUAAAAUACAAAAAACAAAAAUGGAAUGCAAGAUACAUUCGUUCAGCCAACAAAGAUGCCGUAGUUGUACAAUAGAACAGACAAGCACAGAAGAACCAAUGUCAUUCCUCAUUUACCACAGCUAUUGAUUUUCUCUACGUUUAGUUAAAAGGUACAGCAACCAAGCACUUUUCCACUAAGUGGAGUCGGACACAUGGAUCAAACAAUGUGUAGAUAGACCAUUAAUGGUGUGCUAAGACAAUUUUGAGGCAACGAGGGACCGCAAAACAAGAACCCACUAUGUUGUUACUUGUUAGAUGGGUGUUUUUUUGCCCUUGUAGUGCAUGUAACAUGUGCCACUCCCAGUUGCAUGUAGUAUAUGGCAUGGGAGGUUUGUUUCUGGGUGUUUCUUUUAUGAAGCAACAUGGUACUACAUGCAUAUACUGCUCAUUGUUUAUAUUUUGAUGUUAGAAGACAUUUGAAAAGUUCAUCGUUUCUCUUUCACAAUAAAGGCAGCAGUGAUAUUAAGGUUAGAUAUAAUUAUAUAGGUGCUUUUGAUUUAUUCAACAAGCCAGAAUGAGUACAUUGGCUGACAACUAAAUGAUUUAUUUCAACCUUUCAAAUUUUUCUUUUUAUUGUAAAUUAUUGUAGAAUAAUACAUUUAGCCAAAGAAUUUAUUGAGAAUGUAAUCACUCGUCACUGUUGGAAAAACAAAAAUACAACUAUUUUCCUAAAAACAAAUUGUAAUUUUAAACAACCAAACUAGGUUAUAAAAAAACUGCAAGUAAAUAAGAAAAUAAUGGAUGCAUUUCAUCAUCCAAGGUGUACACGUUACUUCAGCACUUAAUCAAAUACAAACACAUUUCGGCAAAGCAAGAAGCAAAACAAUUUGAAAUGAAGGCAAGUAAUCACAACUCACAAGCAGUUUCUACAUUGGUAAAAAGAAUCUGAAAAAACCAAUUGGGUUUAAAAAUAAACGCAUAAAGAAUAAUCAUCAGCGAGUCAAAAAUAUCUUCAUAGGUGAGUUCUAAGCAUACCUGCAUUGAUGGUGGCUUGAGUUGAACUUUCAGAUCCCGUACAGCAGACUGAAGGUUUCAGACAACCAUAACCAAAUGAAAAAAUAAUAUUAAGAAAAAGAAAAAUAAGAAGCACAACAACAAUAAUAAAAGAUAAAAAAUUAAUGGGAAAAACCCAAGUUCCAUAUUGAAAAUAGAUUAGGUCUAAAAAAGUUUAUAGAGAAUGACAGAGUCUAUCUAUUUGGGCCACUAUUUAGAAGGCAAACAAAGGGAACAUACUCAGGUGGUUGAGCUGGAUGUCAAAAAAAAAAAAAAUACAUGCUAAUUGCCAAACCAAACAAGAAAGCAAGAAUCUUGAGUUAAGAAUAUUACUUUCAACUCCGCUAUCUCUUGUUCCCGUUUAGCAAAUGUUUUAAUGAAUGCCGAAUCUUUUUUCUUCGCUUUUUCAAGCUGACAACCAGUAGAAAAAUUAUAAAGAGUCAAUGAAACCUAGUCCCUGGUAAUGUAUUAUUUUGAUGAAAAAAAUGGAACUUCGAUUCAAAACCUGCUCUCUCAAUGACUCUUCAGAUGAUUUCAGAGCCUGAAGGUAAUUAAUCAACAUUUUUGGCUCUGGCAAGAUUAAACAAUUGUUCAGGUGUACAUUUAAAAUACAGGAAGUAAUGGUAGAAUGAGCUAAAUCCUGAACAAUUAAAACAGGUAUAUAGUAUAUACUACUUGCAAAAGACAAUGUACAAACAAACCUGGAGCAGCCCCAGCAUUUACAACAGGCUCAUUUUGAAUUGAAGAAUGCCAACUCUGAAUCUCAGACUUUGCAGCCUCGAGCUCAUUCUGGAAAUGCAAUUAUCUAAUCAAAUCUUUCAUUGUGAACCACUUAUGAACUUAUGAGUGUCAAAGUGUAGGAUACAUGGAUCAUAAUAUUUAUAACAAAAGUUCAAAUUCUUUUACGUAAAAAAAAAAAAGUAUAAAACUGGAAAGUAAAAAGAAAAAGAUACAGGCCAACUUAAAGGAGAAAACAAUGUGAAUUCUUUAAGAGGAAAACAUACUUGGCAUGUUGCAAGCUGAUCCUUACAGCUCUGGAGGCUGCAAAAAACAUGCUUACAAAUUAAAAUUGGCCCAAAUAUUGUACUCCAAUCUAGGCACAGUAAAAUAUGUUGGUACAUAGUAUCUAUGCUGAGAAAUAGUGGAAUACCUUUCACGAAGUGACAAGAUCAUUCCUGUUGUUACGCCAGAGGCAGUUUCUUCAGCUUUAGAUUUGGCCUACAUCACAAAUGGUGGUAAACAAUCUAAGAGAAACUCAAUUUUGUAUAUUGUGCUGAAAAUGGAUUUGCUAAACAAUUACAAUGUAUAGAUUGCAUUUUAUGUUACUAAACUGCUAAGGGAAUCUAACUAACUGACAGCUGUAAGUUAGUUUAGUCACAACGGAAGUUCAGUUUGUAACAACGGAAAUAUAACCUAAAAUAGGACCUAUGUGAGCUCUCAUAAGCUCGAGUAGAUGUACUCCCUUAAUAACUUCUUAUUUUAAUGUUUUGAUUAAGCUAAGCAUAUUAUUAGUAAGCUUAUCAUAAACGAAGCAACCCACUUCACUCGUGUCUCAUGCCAACUUCCAUUGCUCACCAAUACAUCAACAAAUAAACACCCCAAUCAAACCAGCAUAACUAAUCAUUAAGGUAAUUGAACUUUAAGAACAACAAAAAAACAGAGCAUGUAAAACACAGAAGCUCAACCAUCACCCUCAUCAUUCAAAAACGUUCAAGUUGCGUUAUUGCAAGAACACAGUAACAUACUAACAUCUUUCAAGCUUCUUCAUUUUCCUAUAUCUGGAUACUUUUAACUAAAAAGUAAAAACUAAUAGGACCGUGUUUGGAUUGACCUAUUUGAGUUUAUCUACCAACGUAAGUUUUGUGAAACAGUUUGAGAGAACUUUUAAAAACAGCUUGUGACAUGUUUAUAAGCUGUUUUCAGCUUAUGUUCAUAAGUUCUCCAAGAUAGCUUAUGAACACAGUUUAUAUCUUAUAUGAAAACAAUUUAAUUUAUCUUUUGCUAUAGAAAUAAGCACUUAUCAUGAUAAGCGCGCUUAUGCUAUAAGCAAAUCCUCCUUUAGUGCUAAAAUGUUUUUUUAUUUUUAUUUUUAUUAUUAUUAUUGAUUAAUAUAAAAAAUGACAUUCAGAUCAGUUCAAUUCUUCUACUUCUUGGAUUACUGUAAAGUAUAAUGAAUUUAGCGAAUAAUUCAUAGAUAAAAUAGCAUAAGCAGCAAUACCAUAAGCUAAAAUGCAAGCAGCGCAUAACAGAUUCAAGUAAAUAGUUACCUUCUUCGGUGCAAAAGGAUCGUUUUCAUAAUCUUCAUCAUCGUAAUCCGGAGAUGGUCUCUUAUUACCUGUGUUCACAAACAACAAAUCAAUCAAACAGAAUUAACAAAUCAGUCACCGAACAAAUUUGAGAAAACACAGUUCAAUAAAAAAAAAAUCAAAAACCUGAAUGCCUUCCACCAAUUUCACCACCGAAAUCGAAAUCCUACAUUGACAGAAUAAAAAUUAAGGUGAAAUUAGAAUCGUAGAAGGCAAUGAUGAGAGGUGUUAAAAGCACUUACAUCAUCAGGGGAAGCCAUGAAGCUGAAGAAACCCUAGAUAUAGAAGAGAUCGGAAAGAAGCGAAGAGUUGCAACACGGUUAGGUUAUUUGCGAAGGAGGCGAAAUCCUAAAACCAAGGGCGUGACCGUUAACCUUGCUCAGUCGUUACUUGUUAGUAAUAAACGUUUAACGGAGAAACGCUGCAUAUGCCAUGGCUGAUGCUUCUGAGUUCUAAUUCACGGUGACACCUUAUAAGGAUGAAGACUGUGUUAUGUUCUCGGUUCUCACUAGACAGACACACUUGCGAGGUGAACUCAAACAGCAGAUAGAUCAAAUUAAAUUAAAUAUUUUUUUUUUUGUUCGUACAAAAAAUAUAAGUUUUGCUUCUUAUAAUCGUUUUUUAGGGUUUUGAUAUAACAAGUGCACCUAAGAAACAAAAAAAAAUAUAAAAAAAUACUCCCUCCGUUGCUUUUUAAGAGUUUUUUUUUUUAUAUAUAUAAUACUUCUUUCGUUUCAAAAUAUAAAAAAUAUUUGACCACUGCACGUACACCAAUGUAUAAUUUCGAUGAGUUCAAAUUCCCUCCAUUUGAUGAUAUGUCCAUUUAGUCCAUUGAUUAUAUGGAUUAGUGUCAUGUGUAAAAAAAAAAUCCAAUGGUUGAGAUCAGGUCUCAAAAUAUUAAUAUUUUUUAAUAAAAAACACUUUAGCGCGCUUCUGUGAUCAAUCCUCUUCCUCAUCAAACUCAUCACCGCUGCGAUAACCCAGUUCACUCCAAAUUCUAGUUAUCUAUUCUUCUUCCUUCGUCUUCUCCCAAUUCCAGUUCUAAAUAUCCCCUUUAAUCCAUGGUCUUCUCUCACCAGUUACUGUUUAAAUCAAAUUUGGCUUCCAUUCUUCAGCAAGGUGUUAUAUCGUUGUAUCAACACUAAUUUUUUAUAAAAGAAAUCACACUUUGAAUCAAACAACCAAAGAAAAGAUGGUAUAAAAGAAAUCUAGAGCACAAAUUUGAAACAAAAUAGAAGAUCAAGAUUUGAAAAGGGUAAUCAAUACACCGUGAACAAGUUAUUCUCAAUUAGGAGACGCAGUAGGUUUGGAUCAAAAGCAAACAGUGACGACAAACGUGAACAAGUUAUUCGGCGGUAGCAAAGUAACACAAACGGUGAAUCUGGGUGAUACAAGGAGAUGGAUAGACGAAUGUGCUGCGGUGUUUUCUUUUUAUUUUUUAUUAAUAUUUUGGUACCUGAUCUCAACCAUUGGAUAUUUUUUUUACACAUGACAUUCAUCCAUGUAAUUAAUGGACUAAAUGGAAAUAUCACUAAAUGGAGGGAACUCGCACUCAACUUUGAUUAAAAAUAUCUUUAAUUAUGCAUUAUUAAAAAUUAUAGAAAUUUGAUAUUUUGAAAAUAUUCGUCGAAACAAAUAAAACAAUAACUUAUAUGAUAAUAUUUACAUUUAUAUACUUGUAGAAAAAUACGGUCAAAACAAUACUAUAUGAGUAACUAACGGAAAUGACUAACUUGAAACCUAAAAUAAACGUAAGAGACCUAAUUGAUACUUUUUAAACGUAAGGGACCAAAUUGAAACAUAAAAUAAACGUAAGGGACCAAAUGUGUAGUUAAACCUUAGCCAAAUGUGAACAAGUUGGAUCACAAAUAAAAAAGAUUUAAAAUGUGAUGUUGCCGGUCUAAAAUUAUAGGCUUGAAGUUUUAUUACCAUUCAAUGAAGUGGGAUANNNNNNNNNNNNNNNNNNNNNNNNNNNNNNNNNNNNNNNNNNNNNNNNNNNNNNNNNNNNNNNNNNNNNNNNNNNNNNNNNNNNNNNNNNNNNNNNNNNNNNNNNNNNNNNNNNNNNNNNNNNNNNNNNNNNNNNNNNNNNNNNNNNNNNNNNNNNNNNNNNNNNNNNNNNNNNNNNNNNNNNNNNNNNNNNNNNNNNNNNNNNNNNNNNNNNNNNNNNNNNNNNNNNNNNNNNNNNNNNNNNNNNNNNNNNNNNNNNNNNNNNUUUCUUUCCCUUUCCCUUGGUCACAGGUUCAUCAACAACAUUUUCAACCACAACAGUCUCAUCCACAACAGUCUCAAAGUUAUCUUCAAGCAAACAAUCUUCUUUUGAAUCAUCAAAGUGUAUUCUCAGGGCACUAUCUUCACUGUCUUCCUCAUACUCAACUUCAUUUAUCCAAUCAUCGAUAACAUCAUCAUCAAUUCUCACACCUUUCCCUUUAUCAGUCACUUGUUCUCCCUCAGUAGGGCCAACCUUAUCUCCCUCAGUAGGGCCAGUUGGGCCAGUUUCAUUGACUCCCUCACUUGGCCCAUUAUCAUUUAAGUCAUCAGUUGGACCAUUUUCAUUUACUCCCUCAGCAGGCCCAUUUGCAUUUACUCCCUCAGCAGACCCAUUUUCAUUUACUCCCUCACCAGACCCAUUUCCAUUUACUCCCUCAGCAGACCCANNNNNNNNNNNNNNNNNNNNNNNNNNNNNNNNNNNNNNNNNNNNNNNNNNNNNNNNNNNNNNNNNNNNNNNNNNNNNNNNNNNNNNNNNNNNNNNNNNNNNNNNNNNNNNNNNNNNNNNNNNNNNNNNNNNNNNNNNNNNNNNNNNNNNNNNNNNNNNCUAUACUUGGGUAUUUCAAUUUCUUCUUAAUCUCUCCAACAAACUCAAAAUAUGAAAAAUAAUCUUCAUCAACAAACCAAGUUACAUCUGCUCCAACAUACCCAUUAUGAUCAAACUCUUCAAACCAACCCCCAUGGUGUACCACCACCUCCAAUCUAUCACCCAUGAAUAAUACACACCACACCUAAUAAAAUAACACUCAAAAUAAACAGACGGACCACAACAACAAGAAGACAACAAAAUUCCAAAACAUAAGACAACAAACACAGAACCCUAAAUCAUAAACAAACACUAAAACCAUAAAUAAACUAGCAACAAGAAGAAGACAACAAAAGACAACAAAAUUCCAAUAAGAAUCUUAAACAAUUCGAAAUCUAAAACAGAAAAGAAACAAACACAAAACCCUAAAUUAUUUUACUGCAAACACAUAAACACAUAAUUAAACAUAAAAAAGAUCGAUUUCUAACCUGGUUGUGCAGUGUCUCCUUCGAUUCACCUUCGAUUCUUUUUUUCCGUUCGAUUCGCUGUCGUUCGCAUUCGUCGUCUCGUCGUCUUCGCAAUGCUUCUGAGAUGAGUUCUUUCGUUCCUUCGUUCAAAUCGUUUUCCUUUUGUUUUGUUUGUAUAAUAUUUUUUUUAUUUUAAAUUUUAACUUUAAGUUUUUUUUUUAACUUAAAUGUUUUACCUAGUAAGCAGCCAUGUAAGCAACCAUGUAAGCAGCCAUGUAAGCAGCCACGUAAGCACUCAGUUUGCCACCUGUACAAAUUAACAGUUUCUGGAUGGAAAGGACCAAAAUGUUUAACGGCAAAGUCUUUAAGGGACCAAUUNNNNNNNNNNNNNNNNNNNNNNNNNNNNNNNNNNNNNNNNNNNNNNNNNNNNNNNNNNNCAACAAUACACAUAAAUUUGAAUGAAUAAACCAUUAUAAUCACACACCUCUUCUUUCAAUAAUCAAGAAAUUAUGUUACCUUAGCUACUGGACCAAAUAGUAAAGCACAAUAUGUAGAUUAUGUUACCUUAUUAAUGCAUUCACUAUGUGUGUUGCACAUAGUGUUGCAAUGUAGGAAACUUGAACAAAAGAGUAUGAUGCAAACAUAUUAAUUAUACUCUUUUCCUUCAUAGUAAGGGUAAACUCCGUAUGUUACCUUUUAUAACUCAAAUUUUGUGAAAGACAAAAUCAAAAUNNNNNNNNNAAUUUUAAAAUUAGAGCAAUCAGAGUGAGGACAACCAUAAUGAGGCAAGGCGGAAAACGGAGAGAAAAGGGAGAAGAUGCGAGGAGGACGACGGAGUUGGGAUGCUUGAAGAGGAUGAAAAUUUCAUGAUGAAGACGACGUAAGGCAGACAACGGUGAGAGAAACAGAAGAUGCGAGGAGGAGGAGGAGGAGGAGGAGGAGGAAGAGGAGGACGUUGCUUUAUGCGUGCGGAGGAGGACGACAAGUGACGAGGUGAUAACAUCGUGAAAAUUACGCACUGGGUUGUAAUUGAAAAGUUUGAAUCGAACAUUUUGCACUGUGGCCGAUUAAUCUGUUAUUAUAAGACAUUAAUGCAUUUAAUAUUGCAUCAAGGAGGGAGUUGAGUUGCAGAGAGGAAAGUAUUUUUGUGCGGAAAUUAAUAGAUUAUUUCUUCAAAUUGUUACUAAAAAGCUGAUCUUUACUAAAAAGCUCAUCUAGAUUCUAGAUUUUAUUUUUAACUGUCUUGAGAUUUGAGUUUUUUAUUUUCAAUAAGUGAAUUCUAUUGAUAAAGAUCAAAGAAUCAAAUACCCGUGCCAAGCACGGGUUAAAAAGUGAGUAUAAAAAUUAAUAUUUUAAUAAUUCAAAUUUCAUAAUUAUCUAAUACAAAAAAUGAAAAAUUAUAAAUUACACUAAUAUGUUUAAUAAGUCACACCGAAUUAUUUUGUCUUUAAAAAUGUGUCUAACAAAUAUUGCUACUUGAAAAAUUAAAAUGCGAAUAAUUAAAUAACAACUAAAAAUUCAAAAAAAAAAUUAAGCCCAAAAAAUCAUUUUUUUAAUAGUGAGUCUAAAUUUUACUUUUAUGAAAAUAUGAAGACCAAAUAUACAUUUAACCUUAUUUUAAUUACAAAAACAACAUAACACAAUUCAAAUUUGUUGUGCACAUAAAAUAAAGUAGAGUAGUUACAUUUGAAGAUCAUCUUUUUCUUUAAAAACUUUUGACUUUCUACAUUUUAUUUAAAGUAAAGUAGUUACAUGCGAAGAUCAUCUUUUUUCAAAACUUAUCCUUCAACAUCGAGAGCUUGGUCAUGAUUUUCACAUCUUUUUUCUCCUCUAAUCCCGUUGGUACCUCGGUUAACAUGUUGCUAGCAUAAUGUUCCGCAAGAGCUGAAAUACAUGAAACAUUUUUCUACAACCACUUCACUUUCAAAAGUACACCUUCCACCAAUUUAGAAAUCACACCAUUGUUGAAACCAAAUCACCAAUAAUCUCUUUGACUCAAGGACGACAUAAAAAUAAAAAUAACAUUAAAACCGAACUCAAAAUAAAUAAUCAAUUCAAAAAUAUAAUCUAUCGGGAAACAAUUGCAUCCAUUCAAAAAAAGUACAUGUACACAUUCAUGUCAAAUAGAAGCAAAGUUGAUAAACCACAUUCAUAUCACACAGAUUAUAAAAUACACCGAUGUCUGAAGAGUUUCCAAAAGAAAAAUUAGUGAUAUUAUAUGUCUGGUAGUCAAUAUUAGACCAUUUACAUAUCGGUCUUCACAAUAUAAUUUUAUAUAACUUGGUUUCACUAUUUCAUCAGUAAAAUAUUAUACUAUUUAGCGAAUAGUUUCAUUAACGGAGCAGUUGCUACAUACAUAGAUCAUCUUACAUAAAAAUAGAUAUAUAGGAUAUAGCAACAUGACCAUAUGGUUUGAAAUUUGAACAACAAAAUGUUUUAUAUCAUUUGCCAAACUUUGUUACCUUGAAAUAUAAUCACAUUUGCCAAUAGCAUAAUUGAUGAUUCCCCUGUAGAAAUAUUAGGAAUGAAAAUUGUUAGAAAAGUAUUAUUAAAUAUAAGAGUAAAACAAUAUACAUAUAAAAAAGUACAAUAAAAAAGUAUAACAACAAUAAAAUGGUAAAAAUGGUGGCUGUUGUAGAAAAUUAGCUGAUUGAUAUGCUUUAUAUAGAUACAUGAAAUAUGGUUUUAGAGAUGCAUCAUAAUCAUAAUAUUAAAUAAAAUUUUGUGUAGUACAACUAUGUGAUCUGGCAAAUUUAAUUUUAUUCAUGAAUGAGAAUAAAAUUGAUUAGUAACUGAUGCUAAUUUUAAGGACAUAAAAAAAUCGGUGCAGUACAAUUGUUAGGGAUGACAAUUUGACUCAUACCCAGAGGAUACCCGCAAAAAUUACCCACAACGGGUAGGGUAAAAACCCGUAUUUUGCGUACGGACACGGGUAUGGGUAAUUACCCGCAAAAAUGAACGGGUAUUGUAACAUCCCGACUUUAAUUAAUAGAAGAAUAUUUAUUAGAAACUAAUUGGAAAUAAGUGAAUAAGUAUAAAGGGAUAAUUAAUUGGCAUAAGUGCAUUUUGGUGCUAGAUGGAAGGACAAAAUAGAAAUUUCACACCAAGUACAUGUCAUUGUACUACAUAAGGACAUGUCAUGUGGUCUUAAACCAAGGAGAAAAGAUCACAACUUUCCCUCCUCCUGCUCUCUCUCACGUGAACAAACAACUAAGAAAAAUAAAUCAAAUAGGACCCACACCUUUAAUAUAAGCCACAUGACUCCUUGAAACAACCACUCCUUUUAUCAUAACAUUAUGACUACCUGAGAAAGUAAANNNNNNNNNNNNNNNNNNNNNNNNNNNAGCUCCAUUCUUCCUAUUUCUUUUCUUCUUGGUCGAAAAACCCUUUUCAUUGUACCUACCCUCAAGUUUCAAUUCCUUCACCAUCUAUGAGAGGACUUGGAUGCAUGGUGAUCAUCUCUUCUCUGAUAAGAUGCCAAUAUUUGGAUUGAGUCAAUGUUACUCAGAAAGUUAAGGUAAGAAACUCACUUUCCAUGAACACAUAGUUUUUCCUCUUUUAAAUCCAAUCACUAAAUCUUAACCCCAUACUUGAAAUUUGUCCUUGGAUGCACGUUUACUCUUUAAAACACGAAUCUUGAGAUGUCUGGAAGGUCAUGGGUGUUGGAGAAAUUAAGUGAAACUAGAGAAUGAAGAAUUUUGGUAUCAAACCCGUAUUCAAGGACAGACCUGCACUAAAAAGGUAACUGUUCUCUCCCUGUAGCUCCGAAUGAGAUACCGUUUAUUUCUAUGGAUAGCUAACUCAAAUACGGUCGUUGUGGUACCGGUUUUAUAAGGACGAGCGAUGAGGUCGAUAGACAUUUUUGAAGUUGGAAGCCAGUAGCAGGAAUUGUGCAGAAAAUCUGGAAUUUUGGUGUUUUAUGUGCUACGGGUUUGCAUCUUGAGCGGCUCAAGCGGAUGAUUAUAUGCGAAACAGUUCGGAAUUGCUAUCAAAUCAGGUGGGUUCCUUUAGGUAAACUCUCACUUAAUAGAGUAGCCUUAUUAGUUUUCCCCAAAAUCCAACUAUGCAUGUUAACUUAAGUUUUAGGGAUUAAUNNNNNNNNNNNNNNNNNNNNNNNNNNNNNNUGAUUUUAAGUUAUGCAGGAAAUCGAGCUUGAGCCGGCUUAAACAGAGCUUGAACCGAUGCGACGUUUCCUUAAAAACUCUAAAAUGCCCAUUAUGGGUGUUAUGAGCUGGUGCAUGCGCAUCAUGGAUCAGUGCAUAACUCUCAGGAGAUGUUUUAUAAAAACUGGAAACGAUUGAAUCGGUGCAUUCACUUGUUGAAUUGACUCAACCAAGGUUUGGGCAGGUUUUAAUCGGUACAAGGGAUGCUUGAGCCGAUUCAUAUAACUCACAUUAUUUUCUUAAAAACUGAAUUAUAUGCAUCGGUGCAUAAAACACUUGAAUUGGUGCAACCUGAGAUAAUUAUUUUUGUAACAAAAACCAUUUGGUUUAUGGAUGGAGGUUAUAAUAACUAUUUUAUUUCAAUUAAAAACCCUCUGCCAUGAACAUUAUUUUAUAAAAAUAAUAAGUGACUAAAUUCCACGAUUACGGAUCUUCGUACAUGUAUUAAAAUCAGUAGACAUAGGAAUUGAAUCAGGAUAUUCAGGAUAGUUAGAUAUAUCCCGGGAAGGUUUUCUUUCUUUUGGGUAGGAUAACCAUUCAAGAUUAGGAAUUAUGUUUCAGAAUUUAUCAGGAUGGUUGGUCAUUAGUACCAAUAUCAGGAAGCGUGGUCAUUNNNNUCAUGUUGUAUUCCGACGUACAUUAUUAUCGGUAAUACCAGGCCAGGCACUCCGGGACCGGCUUACCCCGGGGUGAUCCUGUUAUGAUAAAAUUGACAAGAUAAUUAUUAUGUGUGUUACACCUUUAUUUCUUUAUUAUCAUAUUAUGAAAACUUCAGGAUUAUGUCAAGAUUAGACUUUUAGAUAUUCAGGUUCAGGUUAAAGUUAGAAACUAUUAGUUUCAGUUGCCCCGGUGUAGUCACCAGUAGUUGGGUAGUAGGAGCUCACUGAGGCUUAGUAGUCUCAUCCCACGACUUUCAAUUUUUUUAGGUAAACAGGUUAACCGGAGCAAGGACCAGGCAGGAACUGAUGAUCGAAGCUAAGCUUGGAUUAUUGGAUUAGAAGACCUUCGUCUUCUUCUUUGUUUUUGUUAAUCUGUUAUUAAGAUUUCAGUCAUCAUUUCAGCUGCGUUGUAUUGAUUAUCACGUUAUUCUCGUGAUAAUUUGUAAUUCAAUUAAUUAUUCUGUAAAUUUUAAUGUACUCAGAUUCAAUUAUUAAUAUCUCGACUAAAUAUUCUAGACAAUUUAGUUGGGAUGUUACAAUUGGUAUCAGAGCAGGUCGAUCUAGUAUCGGACCUUGCCAUGAGUCAUUAGAAUUCAUUCCUAAGUAGUACGGACCCUUUGGAGUCUUGACUGUUUACGCUGAAAUCAUCGCGUGCUGAGCCCGUACAACUCAGUAUUGUGCAUGAUAGGCAGGGUAUUAUGGUUGAGAACUGAAGUGGACCAAGUACGUCGAGUAGUAAGA